rnacentral:rRNA from 1 species
UACGUAGGGGGCAAGCGUUGUUCGGAAUUAUUGGGCGUAAAGCGCGUGUAGGCGGCUUUGCAAGUCGGGUGUGAAAGCCCUCAGCUUAACUGAGGAAGUGCGCCCGAAACUGCUUGGCUUGAGUACCGGAGAGGAUGGCGGAAUUCCCCAAGUAGAGGUGAAAUUCGUAGAUAUGGGGAGGAACACCGGUGGCGAAGGCGGCCAUCUGGACGGAUACUGACGCUGAGACGCGAAAGCGUGGGUAGCAAACAGG